rnacentral:rRNA from 1 species
CCAAUAGCGUAUAUUAAAGUUGUUGCAGUUAAAAAGCUCGUAGUUGAAUUUCGGGGCGGGGGUGGCGGUCGCCUCUCACGGGGUCGAACUGCCAUCAAUUAACCUCGUCCUCUACCUUCUGGCGAGCCGGCAUGUUCUUAAUUGAGUGUGACGGGGAACCAGGACUGUUACUUUGAAAAAUUAGAGUGUUUAAAGCAAGCUCAUCCGCUUGAAUACAUUAGCAUGGAAUAACGAAAUAGGACGGAUUUGGAUCUAUUUUGUUGGUUUCUAGGACCACCGUAAUGAUUAAUAGGGAUAGUUGGGGGCAUUAGUAUUCAAUUGUCAGAGGUGAAAUUCUUGGAUUUAUUGAAGACUAACUUCUGCGAAAGCAUUUGCCAAGGAUGUUUUCAUUAACCAAGAACGAAAGUUAGGGGAUCGAAGACGAUCAGAUACCGUCGUAGUCUUAACCAUAAACUAUGCCGACUAGGGAUCGGGCGAUGUUACAUAACAAUAUGACUCGUUCGGCGCCUUACGGGAAA